rfam:Acidianus hospitalis W1, complete genome.
GCCGCCGUAGCUCAGCCGGUAGAGCGCCGGCCUCGUAAGGGUUAAACCAAGAAAGCCGGUGGUCGCGGGUUCAAAUCCCGCCGGCGGCU